rfam:Citrus clementina cultivar Clemenules unplaced genomic scaffold scaffold_5, whole genome shotgun sequence.
GAGAGCCAAAUGAAUCGAAAAAUUCAUGUUUGGUUCGGGAAGGGAUCAUCGAAGUUUUGAGAUGAAUGGAAAGAUAAUCUACUUUCAU